GGUCCUGUGGUCUAGUGGUAUGAUUCUCGCUUUGGGUUCCUCCAAUCCUAAAUUAGCCUGCGAGAGGCCCCGCGUUCGAAUCGCGGCAGGACCC
rnacentral:tRNA from 2 species